rnacentral:rRNA from 1 species
CACGGGGGGAGCAAGCGUUGUUCGGAAUUACUGGGCGUAAAGAGCUCGUAGGUGGUUUGUCGCGUUGUUCGUGAAAACUCACAACUCAAUUGUGGGCGUGCGGGCGAUACGGGCAGACUGGAGUACUGCAGGGGAGACUGGAAUUCCUGGUGUAGCGGUGGAAUGCGCAGAUAUCAGGAGGAACACCGGUGGCGAAGGCGGGUCUCUGGGCAGUAACUGACGCUGAGGAGCGAAAGCGUGGGGAGCGAACAGG